rnacentral:lncRNA from 1 species
AAUCAUUUGCUUGUGGUGGUCCCCUUUGAGCGUGGAGUGGGGGUCAUGACAUAUUGUGUCCGCUGGUUCUCUGUAUAUCUUGGGGCUGCCGGGGGCCUGUGGUGCAUUCUCCGGCGGAGGCCUGUACAGUUCUGGGCUGGCCGGUUCUGUUCUUGGGGCCGGGUGCAGGUUCUCGAAGUCAUGUGUCAUGAAUGCGUUGCCGGGUGUCCAUUGCGUUCGCUUCGGGCUUUCUGUGGUCUCUUCUCCUGGUCUGAUCGAGUGCACAUUGUCUCCUGGGACGUUCAUCGCCCAUUUCGCCAUUGCCUUUUCCGGUCUGUACGUGGGCGCUUUUAUUUUUUCUACUAUCGGCCUUGCGGCGAGUGGUCGUUUAUGCGUCUUUGUGUGUGCGAGGGGGCGCGGGCGGGCUGGGUCU